rnacentral:rRNA from 1 species
UACGGAGGGUGCGAGCGUUGUCCGGAAUCACUGGGCGUAAAGGGCGCGUAGGCGGCGCGGGCAGUCAACGGUGAAAGCUUGGGGCUCAACCCCGAGUCGGCCGUCGAUACUCCCGGGCUUGAGCACUGUAGAGGCAGGUGGAAUUCCUGGUGUAGCGGUGAAAUGCGCAGAUAUCAGGAGGAACACCGGUGGCGAAGGCGGGUCUCUGGGCCGAUACUGACGCUGAGGAGCGAAAGCGUGGGGAGCAAACAGG